GACAGAGGUGCCAAGCGUUAGGCGGAAUCACUGGGCUUAAAGCGUGUGUAGGCGGGUGCCUAAGUACCUUGUGAAAUCCCCCGGCUCAACCGGGGAACUGCUGGGUAUACUGGGUGCCUUGGGUCAUCUAGGGCUGCCGGAACAAAUGGUGGAGCGGUGAAAUGCGUAGAUAUCAUUUGGAACGCCAACGGCGAAAGCAGGCAGCUGGGGAUGCACCGACGCUGAGACACGAAAGCCAGGGGAGCGAACGGG
rnacentral:rRNA from 1 species